AACCGGGAUUGCCUUAGUAACGGCGAGUGAAGCGGCAAAAGCUCAAAUUUGAAAUCUGGUACCUUCGGUGCCCGAGUUGUAAUUUGGAGAGGGCAACUUUGGGGCCGUUCCUUGUCUAUGUUCCUUGGAACAGGACGUCAUAGAGGGUGAGAAUCCCGUGUGGCGAGGAGUGCGGUUCUUUGUAAAGUGCCUUCGAAGAGUCGAGUUGUUUGGGAAUGCAGCUCUAAGUGGGUGGUAAAUUCCAUCUAAAGCUAAAUAUUGGCGAGAGACCGAUAGCGAACAAGUACAGUGAUGGAAAGAUGAAAAGAACUUUGAAAAGAGAGUGAAAAAGUACGUGAAAUUGUUGAAAGGGAAGGGCAUUUGAUCAGACAUGGUGUUUUGUGCCCUCUGCUCCUUGUGGGUAGGGGAAUCUCGCAUUUCACUGGGCCAGCAUCAGUUUUGGUGGCAGGAUAAAUCCAUAGGAAUGUAGCUUGCCUCGGUAAGUAUUAUAGCCUGUGGGAAUACUGCCAGCUGGGACUGAGGACUGCGACGUAAGUCAAGGAUGCUGGCAUAGAUGGUUAUAUGC
rnacentral:rRNA from 1 species